AUGAAAGGACGAGCCGCGUCUCCUCAGACUCCCCUGGCAGCAAGAGGGGGAGAAGGAAGUCCCUUCUUCAGCAUCCGCUCCGGCCGACGGGCAGAAACCUUCCUGCGGACCCCGGGAGGGAGGCGCCGACCUCCGCAAACGGGAGCCGCGCGCCUGAGCGCCGCUGUUCUGCGACCCGACGGGCGCUCGCCCACGGUUACAACGGCACCAAACCACCGGGGGCGGGAGGGGAGGCGUCCUCCGAGCGCUGUGCCCCGUGCCCCAUCUCCUCCCGACGCCUUGGCGGGGUCUCCGGGGUUUUGUGCUUCAACACCCGGAGCACCGGCACGGCACUGGCGGCACCGGCACGGCACCGGCGGCACCGGCCCGAAGCACUUUCCAGACCUCACGGUCGAAGCCUCGCUCCCAUUUCGGGCACCCUUCGGCUCUUGGAAGCCCGGUGCCGGCCCCGUCCCAAGGCCGGGGGGAGCUGAGGCACCCGUGGAGCCCCCCGUAGGGCCCCGCGGGACACGGGAGCACAUCGCCGCCCCGGGAGCUGAUCCUGCAGCUGCGAGCGGGGACCAAGCGCCAGGUCCGGGGUCCGGGCGCCGCGCCGGGGUCUUCCCGAGCCCACGCUGCCCAACCAAGGUGGUCAAAACCCGGGCGGCACCAGCAGGGCGACGGACGCGGCAGAAGGGACGCGUCCUCGCUCCCUACAAGCGGCGCGAGCCGGGAAUUCGCGCUGCAGGAGGCGUCGAGCCACGGAACGGAGUCGGGGAGCGCCCCGGGGGGAGCACCCCAGGGCUCGGGGGAGCUGCACGGGAGGGGCAAGGGCGCUGCGACCCCAGGGGGAGCGCGCUCGGGGAGAAGCGGCAGCAGGGGACAGGGCGACGGGGAAACAAACCAAGGAGGGACCCCCCCCGGCACAGCCACCCAAAGGGACCGGGAAGGGUCCUCAGGGCAGCUGGGGGGGGCUCUGCCCGGCACCGACCUCGACCUAACGGGGUCGGCUACAAAACCCCUCUGCCACAAGCCCCCCGCUGCAGAAACCCGCUGCGAGGCCGGGGCCGGGGCGGGGGGGAAGCAGCGGGGAACAGCUGC
rnacentral:lncRNA from 1 species